rnacentral:rRNA from 1 species
UCCAGACUCCUACGGGAGGCAGCGGUGGGGAAUAUUGCACAAUGGGGGGAACCCUGAUGCAGCGACGCCGCGUGGGUGAAGGAGCACCUCGGUGCGUAAAGCCCUAUCGGCAGGGAAGAAAAGCGAACAGGUUCGCCUGGACGGUACCUGACUAAGAAGCCCCGGCUAACUACGUGCCAGCAGCCGCGGUAAUACGUAGGGGGCAAGCGUUAUCCGGAUUUACUGGGUGUAAAGGGAGCGUAGACGGCAUGGCAAGUCAGAUGUGAAAGCCCGGGGCUCAACCCCGGGACUGCAUUUGAAACUGUCAGGCUGGAGUGCAGGAGAGGUAAGUGGAAUUCCUAGUGUAGCGGUGAAAUGCGUAGAUAUUAGGAGGAACACCGGCGGCGAAGGCGGCCUGCUGGACCGUAACUGACGUUGAGGCUCGAAAGCGUGGGGAGCAAACAGGAUUAGAUACCCGGGUA